rnacentral:rRNA from 1 species
AUCUACCUCUUACUAAGGGAUAGCCCAGAGAAAUUUGGAUUAAUAUCUUAUAGUAUGUUAACUUGGCAUCAAGAUAACAUUAAAGGUUACGGUAAGAGAUGACUAUGCGUCCUAUUAGCUAGAUGGUGUGGUAACGGCACACCAUGGCAACGAUAGGUAGGGGCCCUGAGAGGGGGAUCCCCCACACUGGUACUGAGACACGGACCAGACUCCUACGGGAGGCAGCAGUGAGGAAUAUUGGACAAUGGAGGCAACUCUGAUCCAGCCAUGCCGCGUGCAGGAAGACUGCCCUAUGGGUUGUAAACUGCUUUUAUACAGGAAGAAACACUCUCACGUGUGAGAGCUUGACGGUACUGUAAGAAUAAGGAUCGGCUAACUCCGUGCCAGCAGCCGCGGUAAUACGGAGGAUCCAAGCGUUAUCCGGAAUCAUUGGGUUUAAAGGGUCCGUAGGUGGAUAAUUAAGUCAGAGGUGAAAUCCUGCAGCUCAACUGUAGAAUUGCCUUUGAUACUGGUUGUCUUGAGUUAUUAUGAAGUAGUUAGAAUAUGUAGUGUAGCGGUGAAAUGCAUAGAUAUUACAUAGAAUACCAAUUGCGAAGGCAGAUUACUAAUAAUAUACUGACACUGAUGGACGAAAGCGUGGGGAGCGAACAGGAUUAGAUACCCUGGUAGUCCACGCCGUAAACGAUGGUCACUAGCUGUUCGAACUUAGGUUUGAGUGGCUAAGCGAAAGUGAUAAGUGACCCACCUGGGGAGUACGUUCGCAAGAAUGAAACUCAAAGGAAUUGACGGGGGCCCGCACAAGCGGUGGAGCAUGUGGUUUAAUUCGAUGAUACGCGAGGAACCUUACCAGGGCUUAAAUGUAAAUUGACAGGUUUAGAAAUAGACUUUUCUUCGGACAAUUUACAAGGUGCUGCAUGGUUGUCGUCAGCUCGUGCCGUGAGGUGUCAGGUUAAGUCCUAUAACGAGCGCAACCCCUGUUGUUAGUUGCCAGCGAGUCAUGUCGGGAACUCUAACAAGACUGCCAGUGCAAACUGUGAGGAAGGUGGGGAUGACGUCAAAUCAUCACGGCCCUUACGUCCUGGGCUACACACGUGCUACAAUGGUAGGGACAGAGAGCAGCCACUGGGUGACCAGGAGCGAAUCUAUAAACCCUAUCACAGUUCGGAUCGGAGUCUGCAACU